rfam:Vitrella brassicaformis CCMP3155 genome assembly, contig: scaffold48
GUCCUCGUAGUGUAAUGGAGAUCACGUCUGCCUCCUAAGCAGGAGACUCUGGGUUCGAGUCCCAGCGGGGAUA